UACGAGAGGCCCGAACGUUAUUCGGAAUUACUGGGCUUAAAGAGUUCGUAGGCGGCAUGAAAAGUAGGGUGUGAAAGCCCUCGGCUCAACCGAGGAAUUGCGCUCUAAACUGUCGUGCUAGAGGAAGUUAGAGGUGAGCGGAACUGAUGGUGGAGCGGUGAAAUGCGUUGAUAUCAUCAGGAACACCGGAGGCGAAGGCGGCUCACUGGGGCUUUUCUGACGCUGAGGAACGAAAGCCAGGGUAGCGAACGGG
rnacentral:rRNA from 1 species